UACGAAGGUGGCAAGCGUUACUCGGAAUUACUAGGCGUAAAGGGCAGGUAGGUGGUUUGGUUAGUCUGUUGUGAAGCUCCUUGCUUAACGGGGAGAGGCCAACAGAUACUGCCAGACUUGAGUAUGGGAGAGGUUACUGGAAUUCCGGUGUAGCGGUGAAAGUGACGCAGAGAUCGGGAGGAACACCAAUGGCGAAAGCAGGUAACUGGACCAUUACUGACACUCAGCUGCGAAAGCUAGGGAGCAACA
rnacentral:rRNA from 1 species